rnacentral:lncRNA from 1 species
AAGAAAAUGUUGUUGUUAUACCUAUGAAAUUUGAUGGAAUUGUGUGAAUGAUGAAAAUGUUGUUGUUAAACCCAUGAAAUUUGACUAAAUUUUGUGAAUGAUGAAAAUGUUGUUGUUAAACCCAUAAAAUUUAAUUGAAUUGUGUUAACGAUGAAAACGUUGUCGUUAAACCUAUGAAAUUUGAUUGAAUUGUGUGAAUGAUGAAAAUGUUGUUGUUAAACCCAUGAAAUUUAAUUGAAUUGUGUGAACGAUGAAAACGUUGUUGUUAAACCCAUGAAAUUUGAUUGAAGUGUGUGAAUAAUGAAAAUGUUGAUGUUAAACCUAUGAAAUUUGGUUCAAUUGUGUGAAUGAUGAAAAUGUUGUUGUUAAACCCAUGAACUUUGAUUGAAUUGUGUGAAUGAUGAAAA